GCACCGGUAGAGCGUAAUUGGAAGCGUCUCAGUCUUCUAAACUGAUGGUCGAAGUGCCCUUGUGGGUUCGAAUCCCACCCGGUGUA
rnacentral:tRNA from 1 species